GGCCUGGUGGUGUAGUGGUAACAUCUCCUCUCUAUAUAAGAAGAAGGUAUGUAACGUACUUCUGAGGAAGUCCCCUAUUCAACUCGGGGUCAGGCCA